AUAGGAAAUAAUAUAAAUCAGAGUAUACUUUACUUACGAUAAAGAAGUACUAUCCUAA
rnacentral:tRNA from 1 species